CUGCAAGUGAGAGCAAGUAGAAACUCUGCAGGGAUCCUGUUUUUGUGAAGCUGUUUUUGAACUGUAUCUACCAUUUAAUUACUGAAGUACCUCCAUCAGUGUGAAUACAGUUGACAGAGGUCUUACCUCCCUUCCAGUGUGUUUCAUUACUACCAGUCUCUCUUCUAAGCAUGAGGACCAAGGGCCUACUCAAUUCUAGGGUCUUCUUACUACAGAAUCCUGAAACUUGCCUGAAAAAUUCAAAUGGUACUUCGUCUGAGAAAUCAGCAUUUGCCUUUGUAAAUGUCCAUUCUGCUUUAAGUUUUGUAUCUGAAAAUCCUUAUCUGCC
rnacentral:lncRNA from 1 species